rnacentral:rRNA from 1 species
AAUGAACGCUGGCGGCGCGCCUAAUACAUGCAAGUCGAGCGAGAAGACGUAGCAAUACGUUUGUAAAGCGGCGAACGGGUGAGGAAUACAUGGGUAACCUACCCUAGAGUGGGGAAUAACUAGCCGAAAGGUUAGCUAAUACCGCGUACGCUCCUUGGACUUCGGUUCAGGGAGGAAAGCGAUGCCGAGGGUAUCGCGCUCUUGGAUGGGCUCAUGUCCUAUCAGCUUGUUGGGAGGUAACGGCUCACCAAGGCUUCGACGGGUAGCUGGUCUGAGAGGACGAUCAGCCACACUGGCACUGCGACACGGGCCAGACUCCUACGGGAGGCAGCAGUAAGGAAUAUUGCGCAAUGGGCGAAAGCCUGACGCAGCGACGCCGCG